rnacentral:rRNA from 1 species
GACGAACGCUGGCGGCGUGCCUAAUACAUGCAAGUAGAACGCUGAAGGAGGAGCUUGCUUCUCUGGAUGAGCUGCGAACGGGUGAGUAACGCGUAGGUAACCUGCCUGGUAGCGGGGGAUAACUAUUGGAAACGAUAGCUAAUACCGCAUAAGAGUAGAUGUCGCAUGACAUUUGCUUAAAAGGUGCAAUUGCAUCACUACCAGAUGGACCUGCGUUGUAUUAGCUAGUUGGUGAGGUAACGGCUCACCAAGGCAACGAUACAUAGCCGGCCUGAGAGGGUGAUCGGCCACACUGGGACUGAGACACGGCCCAGACUCCUACGGGAGGCAGCAGUAGGGAAUCUUCGGCAAUGGACGGAAGUCUGACCGAGCAACGCCGCGUGAGUGAAGAAGGUUUUCGGAUCGUAAAGCUCUGUUGUAAGAGAAGAACGAGUGUGAGAGUGGAAAGUUCACACUGUGACGGUAUCUUACCAGAAAGGGACGGCUAACUACGUG